rnacentral:rRNA from 1 species
CACGUAGGGUGCGAGCGUUGUCCGGAAUUAUUGGGCGUAAAGAGCUCGUAGGCGGUGUGUCGCGUCGGCCGUGAAAACCUGCAGCUUAACUGUGGGCUUGCGGUCGAUACGGGCAGACUGGAGUACUGCAGGGGAGACUGGAAUUCCUGGUGUAGCGGUGGAAUGCGCAGAUAUCAGGAGGAACACCGGUGGCGAAGGCGGGUCUCUGGGCAGUAACCGACGCUGAGGAGCGAAAGCGUGGGGAGCGAACAGG